GAUUUAUUUUAUUUAAAAUUGAAUUCGACGUUAUCAUUUAUUGUGAAAUUUGAUAACGAUAUACGCAAUUCAGGUAAAUGGGCCUUGGAAGGAGGCUGUUUAGGGGGCUGGCCAUGAUGGGUACUGCUCUUCGGCGUAUUGGAAGACAAGUUGUGGCCCCAAUCUCUUCUCUCCCGCACCGACGGAGAUCAGUAAGCCCGCAGGCUGCUCUCGCAUCGGUGGCCUGUCACCGACAUCAUCUGGCGGCUCUCCAGGCCAGCAUCCGGGAGCCGACCUACAGUGGUGCUGCGAAGGCUGUGGUUUGUGUAGACCCUUGAAAGACCCACCUGAAAGAUAGUGGACACCCAUUGGCUCCCGGCUGUACCAUAUUUCGAAGGUCAUCAUGCCACGUUUUGGGUGGAGGUAGAACAAUUUGGCAUCAGAUGGACACUUGCCAAUGUAUGCUUCAAAACCUUUUACGGAUCUCCGGGCCUGGCAAACAUAAAACCUCUCAGGUUUUCUUUGUCUGGGUCAUUCGGGUCUUUGUGUUUUUUUUUUCAGGAUUGCAGGCCAGGCUGACAUAUUCGACCCCAUCCUCGUCUCUCUGGACGAUGAAAGAUGCCCCUGACAGCUCCCGGUUUCCCCCCCUGCCACGCCGAGCCAAACAUAGUUGCACAUCAAACCAUACUUUUUGGACCAAGCCACGGGGUGUAUCGGGAGACAGUGCUGGGGAAUUUUUCAUCUUCUCAAGGUCGGACUCAGAAAUGCGGGGAUGGUGGAAGCUUGUAUCUUUACCUCUUUUCCUGUAACUCUUAACUAUAGAUUGAAACACCGCAUUACUGCUCUUGAAUCUUGUAUCAGUCAUGAUAUUGAAAGCAGUUAUAUGACGGUUAAUACCUGCCCUUAAACACCUUAGGCUGGCAACGCUGUACUCCCCCCCUCCCUUGGCCUUGAUGGACUGGACAGAGGCGUAAAAUCCCCGCAGGGUCUCAUUCAGCAAGUCGGCGGUCUAUUUUUCAAAGUUGGUGUUCAUUUGUUUUUGUGAAAGGAAGUCCCUUAGUGUAUUAAUUGCCCAUUUCGUUGUUUUGUUUGUGUUCAUCUUUGUCAUUGUCUUCUUCUAUCUGAUUUAAUUCUCCCGGUGUUAUCUCCUUGUGCCGUUUCUUCUGUUUCUCUUCAUUUUCUCUUUCCCAGUUAUCAAAGUUUUCAUAUUCUCCAAAUAAAUUUAACGAAAUGUUGAA